AGGAUGAACGCUGGCGGCGUGCCUAACACAUGCAAGUCGAGCGGUAUAUAGUGGAAUGAAACUUCGGUCGAGUGAAGCUAUAGAGAGCGGCGGACGGGUGAGUAACGCGUAGGCAACCUGCCCCAUACAGAGGGAUAGCCUCGGGAAACCGGGAUUAAAACCUCAUAACGCGAGGAGUUCACAUGGACUACUCGCCAAAGAUUCAUCGGUAUGGGAUGGGCCUGCGUCUGAUUAGCUAGUUGGUGAGGUAACGGCUCACCAAGGCGACGAUCAGUAGCCGACCUGAGAGGGUAAUCGGCCACAUUGGAACUGAGACACGGUCCAAACUCCUACGGGAGGCAGCAGUGGGGAAUAUUGCACAAUGGGCGAAAGCCUGAUGCAGCAACGCCGCGUGAGCGAUGAAGGCCUUUGGGUCGUAAAGCUCUGUCCUUGGGGAAGAAACAAAUGACGGUACCCUUGGAGGAAGCCCCGGCUAACUACGUG
rnacentral:rRNA from 1 species